rnacentral:rRNA from 1 species
UACGUAGGGUGCAAGCGUUGUCCGGAAUUAUUGGGCGUAAAGAGCUCGUAGGCGGUCUGUUGCGUCCGCUGUGAAAACCCGGGGCUUAACCCUGGGCUGGCAGUGGAUACGGACAGACUAGAGGUAGGUAGGGGAGAAUGGAAUUCCCGGUGUAGCGGUGGAAUGCGCAGAUAUCGGGAGGAACACCGGUGGCGAAGGCGGUUCUCUGGGCCUUGCCUGACGCUGAGGAGCGAAAGCGUGGGGAGCGAACAGG